rnacentral:rRNA from 1 species
GACGAACGCUGGCGGCGUGCUUAACACAUGCAAGUCGAACGGAAGGGCCCUGCUUUUGUGGGGUGCUCGAGUGGCGAACGGGUGAGUAACACGUGAGUAACCUGCCCUUGACUUUGGGAUAACUUCAGGAAACUGGGGCUAAUACCGGAUAGGAGCUCCUGCUGCAUGGUGGGGGUUGGAAAGUUUCGGCGGUUGGGGAUGGACUCGCGGCUUAUCGGCUUGUUGGUGGGGUAGUGGCUUACCAAGGCUUUGACGGGUAGCCGGCCUGAGAGGGUGACCGGCCACAUUGGGACUGAGAUACGGCCCAGACUCCUACGGGAGGCAGCAGUGGGGAAUAUUGCACAAUGGGCGGAAGCCUGAUGCAGCAACGCCGCGUGCGGGAUGACGGCCUUCGGGUUGUAAACCGCUUUCGCCUGUGACGAAGCGUGAGUGGCGGUAAUGGGUAAAGAAGCACCGGCUAACUACGUG